UUACGGCCACGUCACGUUGAAACUGCCGAUUGCCGUACGAUCACCAAAGUUAAGCACCGUCGAUCCAGGUCAGUACCUAGAUGGGUGAGUGCUUGGGAAUACCAGGUGCUGUAA